AGCACAAAACAAUCAUCGGGCUUGCCCCUGUGCAACUAGGCUGUGCACCAGGCCGGGCCGCCACCGAGUACCCGAAGCCUGACCCGAGCCUGGAUACUGUAGUGUCGAGAUGGGGCCUGCAUGAACAGACCCGGCCCGGCCUGGUGCCCAUUGAAGUCAGGUACCGGGCAAACGACCAAGCCCGUUGGGGGCCUGUAAGCCUGCGACGGGGGUUAGGGUUUUUCUUUUUCACUGGAAAGAGAAAGAGAGUUGUGCAAGUUUGGACUUGAGAGUCCACCGGACCGCCACUGCCACAACCACUGCGGACAUCGCCGACUCACCGUUUGUUGUUCGGCAUCCACUGUCGCCGCACCGCCGGUCUGCGACCGCCACCAUUGCGCAAAAUGCCGCAUGCUAUGCAGCUGCAAGCCACCACGGUACGCCAUCGUCCGCCACUUCUGAGUCGUUCGCCACCGCCACUGAAUGGUCCGCCACACGGCCGUGCCUGCGCUUUGCAUAUCUACGUCAUUGGUUUGGAGUCCGGUGAUGCCAUUCUAUUUUCAGCUAAGGUAGGAGUGGGAAUAGCAAAUGUUGUUAAUGCUAAUGUGAAAAAGAUUUCACCUCCUCAAGAUACCUCAAAAGAGCCUCUCUGAGCACCCAUAUUUGACAAGCAUUUAUUAAGCUCGAAUGAAUACAUGCUGCGUAACAUCUUUCGUGAUGUGGAGUCACAGAUUAACUUGUGAUAGCAUGGAAUGUUGAUGUAAAAGACUUGGAGUGUAAAUUUUGAAUAUUAAACUUGUGGUUCUAAAUCAAAGAAAGGAUUUGGUUUGUACAUCCAGUGAUCAUGGGUGAUGGAGAAAUGACGAGGAACAAGCUAUCACAGGUUGUUUCUGCAGAAAGUACAUUUGGACAGAUUGGAAGGGGAAAAGGCAGAAAAGCAAAAGAUACUAGGAAAAAAAAAAGGAAUUGAAUAACGAGAAGUUAUUGGUGAAUCAAUUUAAGAACUUUGAAGUUUAUAUGAGGCUCAGUCCAUUGUUUUUCUUAUCUAAUUCUGGGGGAAUUUUAUUAUUUAUUUUUCUUUCAUCUAGAACAUGUCAUGUGGCAGGUCAAUGGGUUAUGUAGCAUAUGAAAGUAGUACAAAUAUUUGUUAUUUGCAUUCAUGAAGCAUGAGACCACACAUUUUGGCAUCCGGUAAUUGUGGCAAAAUUCCAAUUCCUAUUGAAAAUGUAACAAAUCAUGUUGUAAUUUUUAUGAAAUAAUAUAAACGUGCUUAAGUUUUA